rnacentral:rRNA from 1 species
UACAGAGGUCCCAAGCGUUGUUCGGAUUCAUUGGGCGUAAAGGGUGCGUAGGCGGCGCGGUAAGUCGGGUGUGAAAUUUCGGAGCUUAACUCCGAAACUGCAUUUGAUACUGCGGUGCUUGAGGACUGGAGAGGAGACUGGAAUUACGGUGUAGCAGUGAAAUGCGUAGAGAUCGUAAGGAAGACCAGUGGCGAAGGCGGGUCUCUGGACAGUUCCUGACACUGAGGCACGAAGGCCAGGGGAGCAAACGGG